rnacentral:rRNA from 1 species
GUCUUGCAAUUGGAUUGAGAACAGCGUACAACUCUUAUCGAUAAGCCAUUGGAGGGCAAGUCUGGUGCCAGCAGCCGCGGUAAUUCCAGCUCCAAUAGCGUAUAUUAACGUUGUUGCAGUUAAAAAGCUCGUAGUUGAAGUGAGGGAGUGUGUGGGUAUGAGAGCUAGUCUCAAGUACUUACAACCUCCCCCCUCCAAUCGGUGUAGUGGGGUAUUCAGUUAUUCUACUACUCCUUUGGUCGUUUACUGUGAGAAAAUUAGAGUGUUCAAAGCGGGCGUUUGUUUGAAUAGAUUAGCAUGGAAUAAUGAUCGAAGGCUUUCGUGUUCAAUUUGAUUGGCUAGUUCAUGGAAGCAAGGUUAAAAGGAACAGGAGGGGGUAUUCAUACUCACUA